CUGCCGAUCGCACCCUGUCAGGUCCAUCCUCGUUCUCCAGCGAUGCUCCUGCCGGAGGUUCCGCCGCUCUCUGUCCAUUGCCCAACUCCGGCGCCGCCGCCUCCUCGCCCCCUCUAGACAACAUUAAAUCUUGAAGUAGACCUACCCCCUCCGUCGCCCCCUUCCCCAAUACGUCUCGACGGCGGCGGCCUCCCUCCGAUCCGUUUCCUUGUGCGGGCGGGCGGCUUCGCAGAGCAUUUCUACCCACCGCCGAACCGGCGUGGAUCUCGGGCACCGAAUUGGCCACCGGUGUUGCGGAGGGGCUUUAUCUGGCGAUCGGCAUGAGGGAGGGGCGAGCGAGGGAGGCGAUGAGGGCACGGCGUCGCUGUGCUGCCACGGGGAGCGGUGACUAUCCCAACGUCCCCAACGUCACUAUGACCACAACGAAGCUCCGUUGCCCCGACUAGCGCUGUCGGUUCGCCUGGUCGCAUCCUACACGACCCGCGGCCGGCGACGAUCACUGCGGUUGGAGCCUCCUCUCCAGCAGUCCAGCCUAGUUCGUCGUCUGCAGUGAAGCAUUGUACUUGUUCCCGGUGAUGAUGCAAGUGCAACCAUGUUCUCAAAUAGGAGCAUUUGCUAGCUUCACCUAGGUGAUGGAGGCAAGGCUUUGCUAGACGCAGAGGAAUGCCAAAAUAAGCUGUACUCUUUGGGAAGCUCAGGUCUGUACAGCCUACAGGAUACCGGAUUGCUGUUAUUGUGUAUCCGUCUUUCAUAGUUGUUUUGCAAAGUGCUUGAAUUUUAGGGAACUCAAGAGUACAUAUUUAGUCCUCACUAGAUGGACUUGGAGCUUGCAAGCAGACAAAGUUGAAGAUGAUGAAGAGCUUAGAAACAAGUUGUGACUUAAGGUUGCAAAGCUGGGGAACCCUUUUAGUCUUAAUCUAUGGCGAAGCAGAUUUGCCAUUCAUGUUGGUAAGAUACCAUGCUAAGUAUACUCCGUUUAGAUGGACAUGUUUAGGACAAGCAAGCUACACUAUGCGUUAAGUUUGUCUCUGUGAAUCCCUUAUAGCUAAGUUCCAUUGAGCUGUAUAAACAUAUGUCCGUUGUAUCCUUUACAGAAGAGAGGUGCUUCCAUGAACAAUGAAACUUGUCCGUUAUAUCGAAA